UAUGGCGACCGGCGCACGGGUGAGUAACACGUAUCCAACCUGCCGAUGACUCGGGGAUAGCCUUUCGAAAGAAAGAUUAAUACCCGAUGGCAUAGUUCUUCCGCAUGGUAGAACUAUUAAAGAAUUUCGGUCAUCGAUGGGGAUGCGUUCCAUUAGGUUGUUGGCGGGGUAACGGCCCACCAAGCCUUCGAUGGAUAGGGGUUCUGAGAGGAAGGUCCCCCACAUUGGAACUGAGACACGGCCCAA
rnacentral:rRNA from 1 species